rnacentral:lncRNA from 1 species
CUGGGGGGAACCCGUCUGAUUUGCGGUUGCUGCUUGUUGCUGGCCCGGGUUAUGCUGGGGAGAACCCGCCUGAUUUGUGUUUGCUGCUUGUUGCUGGCCCAGGUUAUGCUGGGGAGAACCCACCUGAUUUGCAUUUGCUGCUUGUUCAAUGUUGCAUAUAACUUUGAGUACCUGUCAUGCCAAAAAACAAUUUAGUAAAGAAGAAACCUCUUAUUCUAAGAACAAAGGGUACAUGUGAGAUAUUUCAACAGCAAUGUUACAUCAAGUAAAAGGGGGAAAUGGUCGUGC